rnacentral:lncRNA from 10 species
AAGCUAUUUUGCUAUAGCAGCAGGAAUGGACUAAAGGCGAUUUUCCUGGGAUAAAAGGACUUUCUAAUUUUAUUAUCUUAGCCUCAAAAGCACUAGAAAUUCUCCUUUUAUUUUUUUUCUUAUUUAAUUUGUAAAUAAUUGGAUAGUUAUAUUUUAGUUCUAUAUCUAGCUAGUAUACUAAUAAUGUAACACCAUCUCAUUUUGCUUUACGUUUCUUAGAAUACUAGCUAGUAAGGUCUUAUUUCAUAUCCUUUCUUGGAAACCAUAUGUGUAGUAGCCAGUCUCAUGAAAUCCUUGUGUUGAGUCACUGUAUUAGUCAUCUUUUUGCUGAAACAAUGCUGCUCAACAAAGAACUCCCCAAUCUCAGUAUUAUACAACACACAUCCAUUUCUCCCUCAAGGAUCUAUAGUUUAGGUAUGGAUUGGUUUAAGUCUGUCAUUUUCAUGGCAGAGUGCAGGAGUGCAAGAGAGUUGGCAGAGACUCAUGAUGACUGGUCUCUGCUCAGAACUGGCACAGUCUCGCUUCUGCCAUUUUCCGUUCACCAAAGUAAGUAACAUGGCCAAGUCCAAAGUCAUUGGUGCAGAAAAGUACAGUCUGCCCACAGAGUGCAGGAGGGGAGAGUAAUAUUUGUGGAACAAUAAUGCAAUCCACCAGUCACUGUAUGUGCUGCUUUCUUGCUUUUUGUUAAGCUUUUCUCCUUGUAGAUACAUGGUAACUUUAUUCUUCCUCAUCCCAUUUUAACUUAGCUAUGACUUUUGAACAGUGAAAUGUAACUUGUUUCGUUGGCUGAAACGUGAGAGGAAGUCUCAUGUGGUCACUUCUGGGAAGAACGCAGACAUUUUUAAGAGCUAGUACAUAAUUGGCCCUUUUCAGUUUCCGCUGUUUUAUUGAUCCUUGAAGAUCAAUAAGAUGAAGCUUUCAUCAACCUAAGUCCCUGAGUUACUGUGAUGGUCAGAGCCUUCCUGCUAACCCUAAUUGAACAUGUAGAAUGAGCAAGAAAUUCAUUUUUGUUGUAUUAAGUUACUGAGAUUUGGAGAUUAUUUAUUACUGGAGCAUAAUCUAGCCUAUCCUAACACAUUGCUUUUUAUUUCCAUUUUGCAACCAAGUAUCGUUAUGUGUGUGUCUGCUCUCAGUUUUCUGGCUUAGAACUCAAAUAACCGGCCGGGCGCGGUGGCUCACGCCUGUAAUCCCAGCACUUUGGGAGGCCGAGGCGGGCGGAUCACGAGGUCAGCAGAUCGAGACCAUCCUGGCUAACACGGUGAAACCCCGUCUCUACUAAAAAUACAAAAAAUUAGCCGGGCGAGGUGGCGGGCGCCUAUAGUCCCAACUACACGGGAGGUUGAGGCAGGAGAAUGGCGUGAACCUGGGAGGCGGAGCCUGCAGCGAGCCGAGAUCGCGCCACUGCACUCCAACCUGGGCGACAGCGAGAUUCCGUCUCAAAAAAAAAAAUAAAUAAAAAGAACUCAAAUAACCUGGGUAAAUGAUGUUGAUAAAUUAAACUAUUCAUUUUAUUCUUUCCUGAGGGCACUGCUCUUAGUUUGGUCAACUGAUUGUGCUUCAGGGAAUACCUGAAUUGAUGAUAAGGGACAAAAAAUCGGAAGGUGUCACAGUCUUUACAGUCAGCUCCAAAUAUUCCAAUGAUACUUUUACCUUUCAUUCAGUUUUUAAAAUUCAUUUUCCUUUUCUUCUCUCCAACUUGUUUCUGGGUAAAAAGGAUUAUUGAUGUUGAUAUAGUUUACUGCAUAAUCUAUACAUCAAUAAUAAAAAUAGCUAUGUCUAAUAUAUUUUUGCCAGAUCCUCCUCUAACAAUUGUGUGUAUACUAACUCUUUUCAUCCUCGCAGCAGUCUUUUGAGGUAGGCUCUAGUUAAUGCCCACUUUACAAAUGACUAAUGUGGAGCACAGGGAGGUAAAUUAUACUGCCCACAUUCACAAAGCUGAUUGAUGGCAAAGCUGAGAUUUGAAACCAAUCAGUUUUGUUUCAGAAUGGCCUGCCUAACCAUUUUGCGUACUGCUUCCCUAAUUUUGACACGUAACAUUGGCUGGGACUUAGAUAGGAGGACAAUAUGUCUGCAACAUCUGUCACUUCAGUGAUCCCUGUGAUCACCUGGUUAGUCAGAACAUGAUGUCUUCUUGAUCCAUCACAGCUCCAUGUCUGUCUCUCUAACCUUGGGCUUAAAAAACAAAUGCCCUUUCCAGACAAAGAGGCAUCAUUCUGAGAUCAAGGAUACAGUGUCUGUAGUAGAUUAAAGAUGACCACAAAUUACUUGCUACUUCUCCCAUUGAGAGGUGGAAUCUAAUUCUCCUCCCUUUAAUAUGGGCUACCCUUAGAGACUUACUUGACUAAUAGAAUACAGCAGAAGAGAUGUCUGACUGGCCAGGCUAGGUAAGUAAGAAGCCUUGUAGCUUCCAUGUGAGACUCUUGGGACAUGUCUUCUAAGGCCUAAGCUGCUGGAUAAGUCAAACUACCAUGCUAGAUAAACCACGUGCAGAGGCCAUGAGACCACAUGACAAGGGGAGGGGCCUAGCUGAGCACAACGACCAGCAGUUCCCAUCAGGGUGCCAGGCAUUAUGUGUGAAGCAGUCUCCCAUCAGCUGGACACAACUGAGCAACCCUAACUGUGGCCACUAUGGAAUAAAUUUGCCCUGCUGAACCAUGCUAGAAUUAUUGAUUACCAAAAUGAUGAGAUACAAUAAAUUGCUUAUUGUGCUAAGUUUUGGAGUAGUUUACUAAGUAACAAUAGAUAACUGGAACUAAAUUUGGUAUCUGAAAGUGGACUUUCACUAUAACGAAAACUGAAAACAAAUGGCAAUGACUUUGUACCUGGUUGCCACAGAAGUUAGAAAGGCCUCGAGAAAAAUGUUAGUGAAUAUUGGAAGGACAUCGAGGAGACUGCUGGAGAGACUGAAGGACAGUAAAGAAAAUACUAUGGGGGGUGGCUGAAGAAAUGACCUGUGUUAUGUAGUGGCAGAAAGUUUUCGUCUUUGAUAAUGUGGGAAAAUAGAAAAGGUGCCCAAUGAAUGGGAGGAUCUGGCUAAGGAGAUUUUCAGCAGAAUUUCAAAACUACAAAGAGGUUUCUUUUAGCCACAUUAUUAUAAGAUAUUGAUUAAAAAAAAAAAGAAAAAAAAGUGGGCUAAAAAAGGAGCCAUUUGGUUUUUAAGCAGAAUUUAGAGGAAUUAUAAAGAGGCAGGACUUGCUGGGUUCAGAAGAGAUCGGGUGCAUUCAGGGUGGCAUGGCCGUAGACUUUGCUGGGUUCAAACAUCAAACUGCUUCUCAUCCUCAAUCUCUCUAGACAGGGAAAGCUUUCAAAAUAAGAAAUGGCUUCAGGGCAAAAAUAAAUUCCAAGAUGUGACAGCUAGACCCAUGAUUAAGACCUCAAUUAAGGUGGUGCCUCAUAUAUCCUUUCAGUUAAACAAAAAGCCUUCUACAAUCUUGGGCAAUGUACCUCUCCAUUGGACAAAAGAGUUUCUAAGAAUUUUAAGGUUCUGUUAUCCCAUGUCAGACUCACAGUUAGUCCAAGCAAGGUGAAAAAGCUGGCUUCAGAAUGAAAUGUGGGUGUGGCUUUUGCCUAGUAAAGUUCGUUAUCAAUUAGUAUAUAAGACGCCUUAACAUUUUUAAGUGAAUUAUACCAGCAUGGACUGACUGAAAAGGAUGAAGAGAGUACAAAGUGAAAAGAUGCCUUUGGACCCUCAACCUGCCUCAGAGAAGCAGGCUGAGAAAGUUACCCAGCCAAAAACAAGGAUUACUUCUUAGGGAAAAAGAAGAACGGCUCAAAGAAUGGAACCAAGAGCCCAGAGGACUGAUGGAUAGCCAGAGGGAAUCAUUCCCAGGAGCAGGACUGGGCCCUAAUCAAGGAACUGGUAAUAUGUACUCAGCUAGAUUUCAAAAUUGCUGUGGACUACUGACCGCUGUAUGCCUGUGUUCUCUGACUCUUCGAAUGGGAGUGCCUAUUAUGGUUAUCCUAUCUCUGUCCCAUUGUUUCUUGGGUGUGAGAGCCCCAGUGACUUCAGAUCAAGGGGAACUAUACUCAAGGAGCUGAGUGCCAGGAGCCUCAUGAUCACCUGAAUUUGAGUUAGAUGGUGAGAAAGUGGACUUCUAGGCUGAUGCAGUAAAUGUCAGGAAACUUUUGAGGGCUUUAGGAGAGUGUGAGUUUAUUUUGCUUGUGGUAAUAAUGUCUGUGGCCAGAGGAAAAGGAAUGUGGUAGAUUCAAGAUGGCUACAAAUUUUUUGCUACUUCUCUUAUUCAGAGGUAGAAUCUAAUUCCCCUCUCUUGGAUCUAAGCUGGUCUUCAUGACUUGCUUGACCAAUAGAAUGCAGUUCUAGGCCAUAAACUCCUGAACCUGGGCAAUAAGAAACCUUGCAGUUUCCAGUAGGCCUCUUGAUAUACUGAGCUGCCAUGAAAGAAAUCUGACUACCUUGCUGGAGCUAUAGAGAGGAGAGGUCUUGAGGCCACCAGCAGUCCUCAAAGGCAUCAGGCACACAAUAUAAGUGAAGUUACCUGGGACCUCCAGAGCAGCCCUGCCUUCCACUGAAUACCAGCAAGUGACCCAGUCAAUACUGCAUGGGGAAAACAAAUUGCUCAGCUGAGACCUGUCCAAAUUACUGACCCACAAAAUCAUAAGAUACAAUAAAAUGGUUGUUUUGAGCUACUGAAUUGUGGGGUAGAUUGUUUAUGCAGGAAUAGACAACUGAGACCAUGCCUUAAAAUGGACACAGUAUUUUUGAUGCAUUAUCUCAUUCAUUCAUCCAAUAAAUAAUUACUGUGAACCAUUAUGUGUCAGGCACUACUCUUUAUUCUAGAGACACAGUAGUUUAAAAAAAGGCCAGCAAAGACCCUGUUUUCAUGGAGCUUACAAUCUACUGGUUUAGAUAGAUAAUAAGUAAAGGAAUAACUACAAUAUGCCAGAUGGUGAUAAGGGCGAUAAAGAUAAGUGAAGCAUGUCAAGGGAGCAUCCCAGCAAGACAACCCUCUUUUUAUAGAAGAGAAAACAGAGUCUUAGAAAGAUUAAAUAAUAGGCAGUAAGAGAAGCAAGUUCCUAGGUACAAUGAAACUGGAGUUUCACUUGAUGAAACACUGUUCAAUAGAAUUUAUAAAUUCAAAUUGUUGUUUAGCACAACAGAGGAACCUAAUAGGCAGAAGUGUGGCUUGGAUGGAUGUUCCUGACUACCCAGGCUGUCCAAGUAAACUGUUGUAUAUACAAGAAUGAAAAGAUCUGAGGUGGAGCCAAGGUGGCCAAAUAGGAACAGCUCCAGUCUAGAGCUCCCAGCGUGAGCGAUGCAGAAGACGGGUGAUUUCUGCCUUGCCAACUGAGGUACUGGGGAGUGUCAGAAAGUGGGUACAGGACAGUGGGUGCACUGCACCCAGCAUGAGCCAAAGGAGGGCGAAGCAUCACCUCACCCGGGAGGCACAAGGGGUCAGGGAAUUCCCUUUCCUAGUCAAAGAAAGGGGUGACAGACGGCACCUGGAAAAUCGGGUCACUGCCACCCUAAUACUGCACUUUUCCAACAGUCUUAGCAAACGGCACACCAGGAGAUUAUAUCCCGUGCAUGGCUCGGGGGGGUCCUACGCCCAUAGAGCCUCCCUCAUUGCUGGCACAGCAGACUGAGAUCGAACUGCAAGGCGGCAGCGAGGCUGGGGGAGGGGCACCUGCCAUUGCCGAGGCUGGAGUAGGUAAACAAAGCAGCCCAGAAGCUCGAACUGGGUGGAGCCCACUGCAGCUCAAGGAGGCCUGCCUGCCUCUGUAGACUGCACCUCUGGGGGCAGGGAAUAGUCAAACAAAAGGCAGCAGAAUCCUCUGCAGACUUAAAUGUCCCUGUCUGACAGCUUUGAAGAGAGUAGUGGUUCUCCCAGCACACAGCUUGAGAUCUGAGAAUGGACAGACUGCCUCCUUAGGUUGGUCCCUGACCCCCAAGUAGCCUAACUGGGAGGCCC